CCGAAAGCUAUUUAGGUAGCGCCUCGUGAAUUCAUCUCCGGGGGUAGAGCACUGUUUCGGCUAGGGGGCCAUCCCGGCUUACCAACCCGAUGCAAACUGCGAAUACCGGAGAAUGUUAUCACGGGAGACACACGGCGGGUGCUAACGUCCGUCGUGAAGAGGGAAACAACCCAGACCGCCAGCUAAGGUCCCAAAGUCAUGGUUAAGUGGGAAACGAUGUGGGAAGGCCCAGACAGCCAGGAUGUUGGCUUAGAAGCAGCCAUCAUUUAAAGAAAGCGUAAUAGCUCACUGGUCGAGUCGGCCUGCGCGGAAGAUGUAACGGGGCUAAACCAUGCACCGAAGCUGCGGCAGCGACACUGUGUGUUGUUGGGUAGGGGAGCGUUCUGUAAGCCUGCGAAGGUGUCCCGUGAGGGAUGCUGGAGGUAUCAGAAGUGCGAAUGCUGACAUAAGUAACGAUAAAGCGGGUGAAAAGCCCGCUCGCCGGAAGACCAAGGGUUCCUGUCCAACGUUAAUCGGGGCAGGGUGAGUCGACCCCUAAGGC
rnacentral:rRNA from 1 species